CAUGAGUUAUGUCAUGUUAUCGACAUGUGAAUUCAUAGCAUGUCAGAAGGCAGACCCGGAGAACUGAAACAUCUUAGUACCCGGAGGAAGAGAAAGAAAAAUCGAUUCCCUGAGUAGCGGCGAGCGAAACGGGAAGAGCCCAAACCAACAAGCUUGCUUGUUGGGGUUGUAGGACACUCUAUACGGAGUUACAAAAGAACAUGUUAGACGAAUCAUCUGGAAAGAUGAAUCAAAGAAGGUAAUAAUCCUGUAGUCGAAAACAUAUUCUCUCUUGAGUGGAUCCUGAGUACGACGGAGCACGUGAAAUUCCGUCGGAAUCUGGGAGGACCAUCUCCUAAGGCUAAAUACUCUCUAGUGACCGAUAGUGAACCAGUACCGUGAGGGAAAGGUGAAAAGUACCCCGGAAGGGGAGUGAAAGAGAACUUGAAACCGUGUGCUUACAAGUAGUCAGAGCCCGUUAAUGGGUGAUGGCGUGCCUUUUGUAGAAUGAACCGGCGAGUUACGAUCUGAUGCAAGGUUAAGCAGCAAAUGUGGAGCCGCAGCGAAAGCGAGUCUGAAUAGGGCGUUGAGUAUUUGGUCGUAGACCCGAAACCAGGUGAUCUACCCUUGGUCAGGUUGAAGUUCAGGUAACACUGAAUGGAGGACCGAACCGACUUACGUUGAAAAGUGAGCGGAUGAACUGAGGGUAGCGGAGAAAUUCCAAUCGAACUUGGAGAUAGCUGGUUCUCUCCGAAAUAGCUUUAGGGCUAGCCUCAAGUGAUGAUUAUUGGAGGUAGAGCACUGUUUGGACGAGGGGCCCCUCUCGGGUUACCGAAUUCAGACAAACUCCGAAUGCCAAUUAAUUUAACUUGGGAGUCAGAACAUGGGUGAUAAGGUCCGUGUUCGAAAGGGAAACAGCCCAGACCACCAGCUAAGGUCCCAAAAUAUAUGUUAAGUGGAAAAGGAUGUGGCGUUGCCCAGACAACUAGGAUGUUGGCUUAGAAGCAGCCAUCAUUUAAAGAGUGCGUAAUAGCUCACUAGUCGAGUGACACUGCGCCGAAAAUGUACCGGGGCUAAACAUAUUACCGAAGCUGUGGAUUGUCCUUUGGACAAUGGUAGGAGAGCGUUCUAAGGGCGUCGAAGCAUGAUCGCAAGGACAUGUGGAGCGCUUAGAAGUGAGAAUGCCGGUGUGAGUAGCGAAAGACGGGUGAGAAUCCCGUCCACCGAUUGACUAAGGUUUCCAGAGGAAGGCUCGUCCGCUCUGGGUUAGUCGGGUCCUAAGCUGAGGCCGACAGGCGUAGGCGAUGGAUAACAGGUUGAUAUUCCUGUACCACCUAGUAUCGUUUUAAUCGAUGGGGGGACGCAGUAGGAUAGGCGAAGCGUGCUGUUGGAGUGCACGUCCAAGCAGUAAGGCUGAGUGUUAGGCAAAUCCGGCACUCAUAAGGCUGAGCUGUGAUGGGGAGAGGAAAUUGUUUCCUCGAGUCGUUGAUUUCACACUGCCGAGAAAAGCCUCUAGAUAGAUAACAGGUGCCCGUACCGCAAACCGACACAGGUAGUCAAGAUGAGAAUUCUAAGGUGAGCGAGCGAACUCUCGUUAAGGAACUCGGCAAAAUGACCCCGUAACUUCGGGAGAAGGGGUGCUCUUUAGGGUUCACGCCCAGAAGAGCCGCAGUGAAUAGGCCCAAGCGACUGUUUAUCAAAAACACAGGUCUCUGCUAAACCGUAAGGUGAUGUAUAGGGGCUGACGCCUGCCCGGUGCUGGAAGGUUAAGAGGAGUGGUUAGCUUCUGCGAAGCUACGAAUCGAAGCCCCAGUAAACGGCGGCCGUAACUAUAACGGUCCUAAGGUAGCGAAAUUCCUUGUCGGGUAAGUUCCGACCCGCACGAAAGGCGUAACGAUUUGGGCACUGUCUCAACGAGAGACUCGGUGAAAUCAUAGUACCUGUGAAGAUGCAGGUUACCCGCGACAGGACGGAAAGACCCCGUGGAGCUUUACUGUAGCCUGAUAUUGAAAUUCGGCACAGCUUGUACAGGAUAGGUAGGAGCCUUUGAAACGUGAGCGCUAGCUUACGUGGAGGCGUUGGUGGGAUACUACCCUAGCUGUGUUGGCUUUCUAACCCGCACCACUUAUCGUGGUGGGAGACAGUGUCAGGCGGGCAGUUUGACUGGGGCGGUCGCCUCCUAAAAGGUAACGGAGGCGCUCAAAGGUUCCCUCAGAAUGGUUGGAAAUCAUUCAUAGAGUGUAAAGGCAUAAGGGAGCUUGACUGCGAGACCUACAAGUCGAGCAGGGUC
rnacentral:rRNA from 1 species